GGGUUGUGAGGUUAAGCGACUAAGCGUACACGGUGGAUGCCCUGGCAGUCAGAGGCGAUGAAGGGCGUGCUAAUCUGCGAUAAGCGCCGGUAAGGUGAUAUGAACCGUUAUAACCGGCGAUACCCGAAUGGGGAAACCCAGUGUGAUUCGUCACACUAUCAUUACGUGAAUACAUAGCGUAAUGAAGCGAACCGGGGGAACUGAAACAUCUAAGUACCCCGAGGAAAAGAAAUCAACCGAGAUUCCCCCAGUAGCGGCGAGCGAACGGGGAGGAGCCCAGAGCCUGAAUCAGCAUGUGUGUUAGUGGAAGCGUCUGGAAAGGCGCGCGAUACAGGGUGACAGCCCCGUACACAAAAGCGCAUGUGUUGUGAGCUCGAUGAGUAGGGCGGGACACGUGGUAUCCUGUCUGAAUAUGGGGGGACCAUCCUCCAAGGCUAAAUACUCCUGACUGACCGAUAGUGAACCAGUACCGUGAGGGAAAGGCGAAAAGAACCCCGGCGAGGGGAGUGAAAAAGAACCUGAAACCGUGUACGUACAAGCAGUGGGAGCACCCUUUGGGGUGUGACUGCGUACCUUUUGUAUAAUGGGUCAGCGACUUAUAUUCUGUAGCAAGGUUAACCGAAUAGGGGAGCCGGAGGGAAACCGAGUCUUAAUUGGGCGUUAAGUUGCAGGGUAUAGACCCGAAACCCGGUGAUCUAGCCAUGGGCAGGUUGAAGGUUGGGUAACACUAACUGGAGGACCGAACCGACUAAUGUUGAAAAAUUAGCGGAUGACCUGUGGCUGGGGGUGAAAGGCCAAUCAAACCGGGAGAUAGCUGGUUCUCCCCGAAAG
rnacentral:rRNA from 1 species